AUCUAGAUACCUGUCUCUGAGACAAAGAACUGAGGCACAAGGUUUUUUGAAGCACGGAUGUUUUUUUGAAGCAUGGAUGCCUGAUUCAAAGUGAAAGACUUUGUAUUUCUGGACCCAUUGUUUGAUGAUGCAGAGUAAGUGCUUCAUGCUGCUUGAAGCGAGCAGCAAAAUUAUCCCACGCCUCACCCCUCGCACACGGGAAGAAAAAAUAGACCCGUAAUCCAGCAGGAACUUAUAAUGUCACACACGGUUGUAUCAUCUGCUCUAGGAAACAACGCGGGCCUUUCAUUUAAUAUUGGAAUAAGUUCAUGCUUUCAUGCUCGCUGAUUUUCCUCGUGGUGCUCUGAGAGAGACCCGGCUCCUCUCCCUGAUGACACUGGCCUGCUCUGAAGAACUUCAUGUCGUCGUGGCCACCCUCGCCUGGCGCUGUGCUUGGGAGCCACUUGCCAGCUUUCUUGGAGCACUUUGAUAUUAUAGCUGAAAGGUACUCUGAGAAUUGUUGGAGUUUUUCUCUUACAAAACUAUAGGUCUGUAAUUUACAUCAUUUAAUGUGACAAGUACAAAUCAAUCCACACAGCAUAUAUUUUUAAAAUGUUCCCGUUUUAUUAUUUUAUAUAGCUAGGGCAUAUUUUAAAUCCAUUUACUAGGACAAAAUGUAGGCAGUUAGACAGCACCAGUCCCAGCCUCUGAUUCUGCCACAUGAAAAGGUGUGGUAGGUCAAGUCUGUUUAAGUAGGACCGUGACAUGGUGAGGCUGAUUGCUUUAAUAGCACAGUUUUGAUUUGUGGCUUUUCCUCCUGGGCACUUUGUUGAGACUUGAGGACCUCUCUUUAGCUGUCUAUGGAACUCAGCUUUUGUAAUGACCUGCUGCAUGCUCAUGGAGGGCAGUGGCAAUGCAUUUCAGUGAUGCUUUUGAGCCCCAUCCAUUGCUAAUUUAGUAAAUCAGCUCUGGCACAUUUGUUUCAUUUGGAAUCGAGCAAUCCCUGCACAGAGCAGGCAAAGAAGCAAAUAAGUAGCCCUGACAUUUUGCUUCUGACAUCUUCAAAGAUUUCUUAGAAUGAAAAAGUAGAUUAAAACCAUCUCAGGCCAAAGUGAGGGCUGUCUUUAUCACAGAAUUUAUUUACAAUACCUAUUUUUCCAGCUUCGUUAUCCUGCUAUUGUGCUAGCAGGAGGAGAAAUUCAGACUGUGACCAUUAGCGCCCAAACUUCUGAUGAGUUGUUCUCAGAAGCUUGUUGUAAACACAGACAGAAGCAGCUGGUCUCAGUGAGCAGGCCACGAGAAGGCAGAAUUUUGAUGAGAGAUGUAGGUUGCUAACGGCUGUGGUGUUUGCAUUUUCCAGAGUGAUGCAGCUCUUCAAAGAGGUCAGUCAGCAUCUGAAGAGUCAGUGUCAGCUAAAGUUCCUCUCAACAUCACUAAAGCCUCUGCUGGCAGUUGUAGACUUUUUUGUAUAUAUAACCUAGUUAGACAAAUGGAUGCAGGGAAGGCAGGGAAGAAGAGAGACAAGGGAAAAUAGCAAAAAAUCCUAUUCCUCAAUGGAAUACCAGGGUAAAGCAUCAUUUCACUAUGCAUGUAAUUUAAAUAUCAUAUAAAAAAAAACAACAAGCUUUUUAUUUUAAAUAGAUCACAGGUUAUCCUGCUUUAUUCAUGCAUCCAACAUUUAUUAAUAACAAAUGCAUGAAUAUAUUUGAACCUCAGGGCUUCCCAGUCUAUCCUUACACAUGUACAGUUUCAACACCUCAGAAUUAUUAAGCAACCCGAUCACAUCAUGCGUAGUGUUGGGAAAAGUAUGAGAGGGCAUAUGGUACUUGUCUCCAGGAGCAGAGCUCUCCAUUGCUUUUGUUGUUCUGUAUCACCAUCUUAAUGCUUUUUUAAUGGAGUUUUCAGAGGGUGAGCACUGUCAGCCCAUUGUCGGCUCCGCUCUGCAUAGAGGAAUGAGCAGUACAUGCUCUGCGGAAGCAGGGUGGAAAAUUAAAGAAGGAUAUCAUUUAGGUAUGGCAGCAAGCUUGCUGAUGAAGCGAUGGUGCUUUCUGUUCUCAGGCAUGACUUCUGCCAGUUUAGCAGUGAUGUAGGCUGAAAUUAUUUUUCAUUAUGUUCAUACCAGUCUGGUGGCUUGCAGUGAGGAAAUACUUUGGACAAAGUGGUUCCAGAAAAACAGUGAAUUAGUUUAUAAAUAACUGAAAUCACUGCAUAACUCAUGAAUUGUUUCGAUGAGCCCUCUCAUUUCUCUUUAUAUUUUCUCACUAGGUUUUCUCUGAUAGGAAAAUCAGCGCUGACUUCUGAGGCCUCAAGUGCUGUAGAAUAUUUCACAGGAAGGCCUUAUGGAACAAAUCUGUUUUUAAAUGAAAUAAUGCAUCCGUAUUAUUUAGUUCCCUGUCCAGCAGAUCACUUAAGCUGUUGACUUCUGUUUGACAAGUCACAUAUUUAAAGUUCUGCUCAAACUAGUGUGUCUUGCUGGAGUGGUGCCGUAUUUGGAUGAAUAGAUCUUUGAUAAAUGAACUGCUGCUUUGUUGUGGGGUUUUCAUUGCUUUUCUUUCUAUUGUCUCUUGUGUAAUAAAUCUGCUCGCAAUUUUUAUUUAUUUAUUGCUUCCCGAGUGUCAUGCCCCUGUGUUCAUAACAGGGUCUAACAAAAUUUUCAAAGCAUAUCGCAUUGCUCAUGUAGCAGAUACAGGCAUGUGGAAGAUGGAUUUACAGAAGCAGGUAGAGGUGAGAAUUUCAGGGCACAGCUGUCUCACCAAGAACAAUAAGUGAUUACGUUUGUUUGAUUACAAAGUGAAGAGGCGUGAGAGAGCGAACGGAUUGCUUUUAGUGGCUCCAAGUGAUAUUUCUGGAUGACACUUUAGAAUAAGUCAUUGCACGAGCUAGCUUUGGUAGCAGAAAAUCACAGGUUUAUUAAACAAGCCCAACGCACAGACAGACAGACAUACCCAUAAUUCUAAUGCAAGCUGUGACUGGAGAAUAUAGGAAGGCCCCAUUGCUGUUGAGUGAUAAGUCUGACAUGUAAUUCACUUGUUUGGGCCGUUGUCUGUAGCUGAGGUGGCUUUAAUCUGAAUGUAAAAACGUCCAUCUCAAAGUGCCAUCAACUUCACUGCAAGUUGUUGCUGCAGUGGGGCAGAGCAAGAGAGAAGAAUAUAAUUAAUUAAAAUUUGGAUUAGAAGAUGAAGCAAUGUAAAAGCAUUAAGCAGGGCUUUAUUUACAGACUGUACAUCAGCUACACAGACAAAACAGGUUUAAGCAAUGCUAGAAUAAAUUUAUCUGUUCUGAAUUUAGCUGUUUAAAUGAAUUUAUCUGUUCUUUUAAAAUUAUUUAGGACAUUAUCUACCCAAGAUCUGUAUAAAGGCGUAUUGCUCUUAUACUAAUGAACAGAUGGAAAUUCCGUGGCUAGGCAUCCUCCCCCGCAAAGGAGAGCGGAUAGAGGGGAGACAGUAAGUGAAGCAGUGCUGCAGAGCAUAGAUAACAAACUAUUCUGCAUGUUCCCUGCAGACAGGAGAGGAAGUGGUGGAUUGAAAUUGCAACAGGAGAGCUUGGCUUUAGGGAAGCUCGAACAAUGGGGAUAGUAACACACAUGUGUGGGCUGAUUAGAGACAGCAGAGGGAAUGGAGUGUCUUCAGGCAGGGACCUAGAUGAGGUGCUCUCAAGACGAGCUUUCUGUCCUUCUAGUGACAGCUCUGGGACUGAAUUCCUCAGGUCAGAACUGCUGCAGGACCUAUGCAGAAAGCAUGCAAGUACGUGCACGCAUGUAUGAAUGUAAGCGUAGAUGGGAUAGAGUUGAGUUUUAGAAAUGAAAUUGCAUUUAUUUGUUUCAUAGUAUUAAGUUUAUGGACUUUCUUCAUGUUUCUACUAUUUACUUUUGUUUAUAGUUACAUUAAGUAGAAGAGUCUACCCUUCUCCCCCAGAAGACUCCUCUCUCAACAACGAAAAGCUUCUACCAUAACUUCAGUGCUACAUGAAGUUGUAGAAAUGCUGCUGGGUUAAGGUUUGGAGACUAUUUGCAUGUGUCUGUAGCUCAAAUGUGUUGUGAGAACAGGCAUAGCAAUGUGGAAGGCCCCACAGAUGUGUUUCAGAGAUAUCAUGGAGUCAUGUGGUUGGUGCACGGAGAUAUUCUGUUUCCUCUCCCAUUGAUUUUGGUUUCUGUAUCUUUUGAAGAAGUACGUAGGCAUGUCUUUCCAAUGACAUCACAUAUGCUUUCUGCAAGGAAAAAGAAAACAUGGAAGUUUCUUCAGCGAGAAGAAAUCUCUGAUGUUUUUUUUGAUACCUCCUACAUUUAUGAAAAGGCUAUGGGACCAAUUCCUGAACUUGACUAGUCUCCAGUUUGUUUUCUGUGGUUGUUUGGUCUCACCUAACCUAAUUAUCAUCUAACAGCUGGCCUUGGCAAGUACCUCAGGCCUGUUCAAUAAUCAAUAGAAAAGAGUCUCCUCCAGAGGAUGUCUUAUACCAUCCUAAGGAAAUUAGCUAAAAUUGGUGGGCUGAAUCACCUCUGGUGAUAUUUAUCCCUUUCCAUCAAAUAUAGCAAGAGUCCAGAUGACUGGCUUAAACUGGUGAUUAAGGAGAUGAAUCCUGCUCUCAGGUGAUGUUACAAGAGGUCUGCUUCUUAUAGUGUCUAAUUUCCUAGCCUUGUGGAAAAUCAGCUUUCUUGUAGCUCAGCAACGGGUAACAGUGGCCUUUCCUAUAAGCCUCUUUCAGAUGCAGUCCUCCAGUCCCAGCUCUGGAUACUGCCAAUUUCUGCUCAGUCCUUCCAGCUCGCUGUGAGCUGGCAUCCACUGGAGCCCUGCAGUCAGUGCCCAGUGUCAUUGCAGCUGCUCCCAGACAUUCAGGGGUGGUAAAAAAGGAGGACACGAUGUUCCAGCUCCAAUCCUGACAUGCCUCAGGUAGGGAUGGGAAAUAAGUAACACCACAGGGCUCCACAGUUGCAUCUGCUCCCCAAUAUUAGUCCCAAAUGCUAUAAUAAACAUUUAUUUCGCAUGGCAGUAAGUUAGAGCAUAACUUCACAUCUUCACUCAGCCACUCCUCCGCUGCUUCUGGUCAUCUGAUUUGCUUCUGCAUUCCUCCUCUCAGACUCUCUUUCCCUUCCCACGAGUUGUACAUGGGAGUCCUUUCCUAGUGUAGCUUUUGGAUCAAACUGACCUUCCCUAAUACCGUAGGUGAAUGUAUCGCUUUUAAUUGUAGCCAUGCAAAAGUUAGUUGCUCGUUCUAAACCAGGAUUCCCUGAUAAUCAGCAGGUGUAUUCAACUCGUCUGAGUCAUGGUCUUACCUGCUGGGCACAUCAGCCUAUUACCUGCAGGGCAAACCUGUGUUUUGGCUGAAUGCUUCUUGAAUGGCUAAGAUGGUAAGAGGCUUAAUGGCUUAAAUGGUAAGAGUACACAUCAGUGUACUGGGGGAUGUACAGGGAUGUUCCCUGUAUCUUAUGCUUUCUGUUCUCUUCAGUGCAGUUCCUAAAAAUCCCGUGUAAGAGCUCAGUUUUCACCUUUCACUAUUCAUGAGAAUUAUGUUGGAAGGGUAUUUUUCCUGUCCACAAUAGCGUGUCCAAUAGAAUAUCAUUAAUUGCUCUCAAUGACCUACUGUAAAUGUAGUGGCCCAAAGCAGCACUGCCAAAGGUGAACACCAGUUGUAUAUCUGCUAGACCAUAUUUCCAUGGUUUGUUCAGGCAAUUUUCAACUCAGAUGAGGAGUCAAAUACUCUCAAAUGAGUUUUUCUUCAUUCUGGGUUUUCUUGCAGAUUUUAAAAGCUGGACAUGCACGUAA